rnacentral:lncRNA from 1 species
GAAUCUCUGGUAGUAUCUUUGGGCUAUUCCGCAAUCCUUAGUGUCACCCCCGAUCCAUCAGUUCUCAAUCCUCUCGGAUCUGAGAUCAUAUCAACCUUACCGAAAGAGUGAUCCUUAUUUUGGUUCUAUCACUAACUGUUGGGGUCAAAAAUGGUUACGACAAAUUUAACAUUAAAAACGUCCGAGGAUGAAAAUAAGAAUUUCUCCGAAGAGUACUUUUCGAAAUAGAUUCUUCCUUACGAAAAAGCUUUACGGAAGAAAGAAUCGAGAUGUCCGACGAAAGCCCGAAAUGGGUCGUUACGCAGCGACCGAACGUCCGUCCCGCUCGGUCGCUACGUAGCGACCGAGCCCGGCCAAACUCGGUCGCUACAUAGCGACCGAGCGAUCGUCCCGCUCGGUCGUUACAUAGCGACCAAGCUCGAGCCAAAGCACGGUCGCUACGUAGCGACCGAGCGAUUGUCCCGCUCGGUCGCUACGUAGCGACCGAGCUCAGCCAAGCUCGGUCGCUACGUAGCGACCGAGCUCGAGCUAAAGCUCGGUCGCUAUGUAGGGACCGAGCGAUCGUCCCGCUCGGUCGCUACGUAGCGACCGAGCUCAGCCAAGCUCAGCCAAGCUCGGUCGCUAUGUAGCGACUGAGCUCGAGCCAAAGCUCGGUCGCUACGUAGCGACCAAGCUCGAGCCAAAGCUCGGUCGCUACGUAGCGACCGAGCGAUCGUCCCACUUGGUCGCUACGUAGCGACCGAGCUCGACCGAGCUCAGCCAAGCUCGGUCGCUACGUAGCGACCGAGCGCUCGUACCGCUCGGUCGCUACGAAGCGACCGGGCUUGAGCCAAAGUUCGGUCGCUGUGUAAGCGAUUGACCCUUUCCGAACAUCGAUACGACACCAGUUCUUGCAUUCUCGUCAAAACCUUUGAAUGCUAUCUGAUAGACCGCGGUCCACGGAUCAGUACAUGGAGCCGAACCAGCAUGAAAAUCAGGACGUUCUGAAGUUUUCAACCGAGGUUCAUGAUUUUCACCAUACUGGCCAGAGUGGCCGGACUGUCCCAAAUGCAUCCGGAUGGGAGCUUUGGCUGGAACCAUGGCCAGAUGAUCGAUUUCACUGUACUGGACUUUGUCUUCACUGUCCUGUUUUCCGUUUGAUGAAGAACAGUCGAGACGGAAUCGCAUUCGGACGUACGAAUCCUGAGUUAGGUCAUUGCUAUACAUUUCUGGACAGUACCGCAUGUACCACCCGGAUGUCCAGUUUGAGGCUUCAUCAAUACCCAUGUCCAGACGAUCGAAUUCACCGAACUGGAGCUCGUAUUUCCCGUACUGAUUGGCAUUUUAAGAGCAACGGUCAAGACAGAUUUGGAUUCGGACGAGUGGAACUCAAGAUAGGCCGUGACACUUCAAAACUGGCUACUUUGGACUGUCCUGCUUGUGUACUGGCCCAGUCCGCAGGACAUGCUUCAGGAUACAAUGAACCUGGACGAAAUUUGAAGGGUUUUUCGCCAGUCAAAGUGUGAUUUCGUGCCUUGACCAGAUCUGGUCAAUUUUAUCAUUUUCUAUGAUUAGAUUUCCCACAUUUUUAUUUAAGUCUUUUGACUAGAACUUCUAUAUAAUGUAACCAUCAGAUCUGAAUAAGAUAAUUUGGUUUUGCUUUCAUUCUUUUGAGUUUUACUCUCUUUGUUCUUUGUUAGAACAUUUCUUAGUUUCUUGGUGAGGUUAUCUCCAAGUCUCGAUCCUUCUUUUGUUGGACCGGUGCGUCACAUCCGGCAACGAUCGAAGUCUGGUAGUAUCUUUGGGCUAUUCCGCAACCCUUAGUGUCACCGUUCAUACCAUCAGUUCUCAAUCCUCUCGGAUCUGAGUUCAUAUCAACCUUACCGAAAGAGUGAUCCUUAUUUUGGUUCUAUCAAGUGGUAUCAGAGCCACUCUUCCGGUAUCUCUUUUCAUUCCAUCUUUCUCACCUAUCACUUUCUUCAUAAAAAAAAAAAAAAAAUUCUUCUUCAAACACUUCUUCUUCUACCUUUCUUAAAUCCGGGCCCCUCAUUACCAUCCAUAUAUAUUAAAAAAAAAAAAGAUUUACGAUUUGAUUCAAAAAAAAAAAAAAAAAAAAAAGUUCAAAGUUUGUUUUGUGGAUUGGUGGUGGAAGAGAAAGCCUGCUGGCUGAGGAGAAAUCCAGCCUUUGAGGUGGUUAAAACGGAUUUCAAAAAUCAAAAUCUCUUAUCUUUCUAUCUUGAGAAAAUUCCCUUGUUUGCUUGGAUUUGCCCAUUGGGAUUCUUUGAUUUGUUCUCUUAGAACAUUGCGUAGAAACUUGUGUGUGAUCACCUAAAUCUGAGAGAAACACUUGAGUGGGUGAGAAUAAAACACUUGAGAGAGUGAGGUUUUAUUUCCUAACUUUUGUGUUGAGAUUUUCAGGUUAUGAUGUUUGGUCUUCAAAGGAAAAGUAACAAGGAGAAGCACCCACGACUUUCUGUCUCUCAAACCUCCUUUAAAUA